rnacentral:rRNA from 1 species
UACGUAGGGACCAAGCGUUGUUCGGAUUUACUGGGCGUAAAGGGCGCGUAGGCGGCUUAACAAGUCACUUGUGAAAUCUCCGGGCUUAACUCGGAACGGUCAAGUGAUACUGUCGCGCUAGAGUGCGGAAGGGGCAAUCAGAAUUCUUGGUGUAGCGGUGAAAUGCGUAGAUAUCAAGAGGAAUACCUGAGGUGAAGACGGGUUGCUAGGCCGACACUGACGCUGAAGCGCGAAAGCCAGGGGAGCAAACGGG